rnacentral:rRNA from 1 species
UACGUAGGUGGCAAGCGUUGUCCGGAUUUAUUGGGUUUAAAGGGUGCGUAGGCGGUCCUAUAAGUCAGUGCUGAAAUAUCCCGGCUUAACCGGGAGGGUGGCAUUGAUACUGCAGGACUUGAGUGAAGUCGAGGUAGGCGGAAUUGACGGUGUAGCGGUGAAAUGCUUAGAUAUCAUCAAGAACACCGAUAGUGAAGACAGCUUACUAGACUUCAACUGACGCUGAGGCACGAAAGUGUGGGGAUCAAACAGG